rnacentral:tRNA from 1 species
GGUCCAUUAGCUCAGUUGGCAGAGCACUUGACUUUUAAUCAAGGUGUCCGGGGUUCGAGCCCCCGAUGGAUCACCA